GGGGAGGACGAGUCGCGGUAGCGGGGGAGCCGGGGGCAGACAGACCCAGCAGAGGCAGCAGGAGGAGGAGGAGGACUCAGCCCAGCCGGGGGCUGCAGAGGAGCUCGCUGUGAGCCCGAGGGAGCCGGGGCAGAGCGGCUGAAGCGGCCUCGCUGCAGAGAGACGGGGCGGCGGAGGGAGAGGCCGGGCCGGCUCCCCUCCCUGCGCUGGGCUCUCCUAGGGGAGGAGGGCGGGUGGCUGCUUGUUCCGGCCUCCUUCUGUCUCUUUAACCCCCCAAAAUGAUUCAGCUCCAUGGCUGCCACUGACGGGAAUGUCCCUGCCCGGCUCAGGCUGCCGCCGCCGCCCUGCUGCGUGCCAGCCCUGUACGUAUCUGCCUGCGCCUUGCUGCUCCUAGGCGCCCCAGCCGGCCGAGCCCCCGACACCCCCUCGCCGCCCCUCCGCACCCAGCCGCCAGAGGCGGCGGCGGCCGCUCCCCCGGGGCCCCGCGGCGGGGAGGUCCGCUCUGCCGACAGCCACCCCCCUACAGCUACACACAGCUCGGGUGGGAGGGGGGCGGGCGGCUGCUUUCUGAGUUGGCCGGAUAACGUGGGUAAUUUCUUCCCUAGCACCCCGCCCCCCGGAGAAGAGGGCCGGAGGGGGAGUGGAGAGCGGAGGGGAAAGUGACCGGCAAAGGACUGAAAGUGUCACAUUCACUGGCUCUGAUCUGAAGGCGGCGGAGGGACCCGGCCUCACCCGCCCCCCCCAGCCCCGGAGAGGAGGAGGAAAAGGGGCGGUUUAGUGGCAGUGCCGGCUGUGCCGAGCCGUCUCAGCCUGUGCUGUGUGAGCCAGCGGGGAGGGGAGGGGGUUAUAUGUGUGUGUGUGUGUGUAGUGCCUCUCCCUUGGGUUGCAUGCAAAGCUAACUGUGUGGCUGUCUCUCUCCGGGCCGGAGAACUGCACUCUUAAAAUAAACCCGGUACAAUGCACCAGCCUGACUCAGCCGCAGACAUUAGUCCUAGGAAGAUGGCGCACCCGGCAAUGUUUCCUAGAAGGGGCAGCGGCGGCAGCUGCGUUACUGCGCUUAAUGCAUCAGGUACCGGCGCUGGUAGCGGAGCCCUCUCCACCGAGGAUUAUCCGCCGCCUCUGCUCAUCCAGCCGCCUCCUCCGUCUCUUGCAGCAUCUUCAUCGGCGGGUCCACAGCCGCCACCCCCUCCUCCACAAAGCCUGAAUCUCCUCGCCCAGUCUCAGCUCCAGCCACAGCCUCUUGCACAGAAAAAGAAAAGUGGCUUCCAAAUUACCAGCGUGACCCCUGCUCAGAUCUCUGCCAGUAUGAGCUCAAACAACAGCAUAGCAGAGGACACAGAAAGCUACGAUGACCUGGAUGAGUCUCACACUGAAGACCUGUCUUCUUCAGAAAUUUUGGAUGUUUCUUUAUCCAGGGCCACUGACUUGGGUGAACCUGAACGAAGCUCCUCCGAAGAGACUUUAAAUAACUUCCAAGAGGCUGAGACCCCUGGGGCCGUCUCUCCAAACCAGCCUCAUCUUCCUCAGCAGCAUCCCCCUUUGCCACAUCACCCACAGCAGAGUGUUGUGAUCAAUGGAAAUGUUCACCCUCAUCAUGGUCACCAUCACCACCACCUUCAUCAUCACCAUCAUGGGUAUCAUCAUCCAUCACAUCCUGGGGUGGGCAGUACACCAGCUUCUGGAGGACCACCCUCAAGUCCGUCAUUUAGAAAGCUGUCCACAGCUGGAAGCUCUGACAAUGUUAUCACAACUGCACCAGUUUCUGCUGCAUCAUCCACUGGUACUCCUGCAUCUGCCCUGACUAAUAUUCGCACUACAAGUACUCCUGGCAAUAUAGGUGUAAGUCCUGUUACUGGAACUAGUAUGUUAAGUAAUGUGGUUGGUGGUAGUCCUAGCAUGACAAGCAGCAUGCUUGGUAAUGUUAAUAUAAACUUAAGCAACGUCACAAGUACUACUAAUGUACAUGCUUUAUCUGGAACCAGCAGCAAUGUUAAUGUGAAUAUCUUGAGUGGUGUUGGCAAUGGUACGAGUGCUUCCUCUAAUGUCAUUAAUAAUGUUACUAAUCCAACUGCAGGAAUGGCAGUGGGAUCAAGUCAGCAGCAGCCUGCAGCUGGCACAUCAAGGUUUAGAGUUGUAAAAUUAGACUCCAGUUCUGAACCUUUUAAAAAAGGUAGAUGGAUAUGCACUGAAUUCUAUGAUAAAGAAAACGCUGUAGCAGUUACAGAAGGAGUAGCAGUAAACAAAGCGGUAGAGACUAUAAAACAAAAUCCACUUGAAGUGACUUCUGAAAGGGAGAGCACCAGUGGGAGUUCUGUUAGCAGCAAUGUAAGCACACUGAGUCACUACACAGAAAGUGUGGGAAGCGGGGAAAUGGGAGCACCUACUGUGAUACAACAGCAGACAUUUCAAGGUAUGGGUCCACAGCAGAUGGAUUUUAGUUGUGCUGGACCUCAGACUAUUCCAGCAUCCAAUAUACCGCAGAGUAUUUCUCAGUCACAGCUUGCACAAGUACAGUUGCCUUCUCAAGAAGUAAAUUAUCCACAGCAAAAGCAAGGAGUCCAGUCUUCAGCACAGGCUAGUUUAACAACUGUUGCUGGUGUUCAGCCAACUCCAGUUAAUGUAGUAGGUGUAUCAUCUUUAGGUCACCAACAACCUGCUAUUCCAAGUGUGGCUCAGCAGCAGCUCUCAUAUUCUCAACCCUCACGUCCUGUGCAAACUUUGCCUGUUGUACCACAACAGCAGUUACAGUAUGGACAACAGACACUUUCCAUGCAGAUGGCCCCUGCACGAGUUAAACCAGUGAAUCAGAGUUCUGUGACAGGGACCAUACCGGACUACAUACAACAUCAGCAGAUACUUCAACCUCCAGUGCCUGCUGUGCAAUCCAGCUCUACAGGAGUAGGAGCAGGAACACCGGUUCCUGUUGUUCAGACACCAAGCAUCCAACCUUCUGUACAAGUACAUCCUGCUGUGGCACCAGCUCAGCCUGUUGCACAUGCUCAGACAGCAAUGCCACCUGUAGGUACUAGUGGUCAAAUUAUUAACAUUGGACAACAAGGAAAUGUACCUGCUGUGGUGCAGCAGCCACCUGUUGCAAACCAAAUUACACCUUCAGUUAUGCAGCAAAGUGCUGCUCCUCCAUCUUCACAAGUGGUGCAGCCUGUUCAGACUGGGAUAAUUCAGCAGGGACUACAAGCUGGUGCUUCAGGCCUUCCUCCACAAAUGGUAAUUGCUUCACAAAAUGCUUUGUUACCUGUACAACCCCAGGCACAAGUAGAAACUGUAGUUCAAGGAAUGACCAGCCAACCAUUGCCUGCAGUUAGCCCUAUACCUUCUACUAGUACUGUUCCUGCUCCAAGUCAAGCUAGUUCAAAUGUACCUCCUGAUAUAUCUUCUGCUCCUGUAAGUUUGGGUCCAUCACAGAACGUAGCACAAGCUUCAGCUGUGCAAAAUGGGAAUUUGGUUCAAAGUGUUAGUCAGCCUCCCUUGAUAUCAACUAGUUUAAGUAUGCCAGUGGCACAAAAUGUGCCACAACAGAUACCGCUAAACUCUACUCAGUUCUCUGCACAAUCACUAACUCAGUCAAUUGUAAGCCAAAUUGAAGAUGGCAGGCGCCCUACAGAACCUUCCUUAGUUGGUUUACCGCAAGCUGCCAGUGGUGAAAGUGGUGUUGGAGCAUCAGCUGUUUCAGAUGGGAGUGGCAGCAACAUAACAUCCUCUGCUUCCCUGUUUCCACUGAAAGUACUGCCAUUGACAACCCAUCUUGUUGAUGGUGAGGAUGAGAGAAAUGACUUCUUCAGAGGCAGCAGCGAACAUUUUUCAAGGAAAUUUCUGGCACCCUUUUCCUUAGAGACUGAAAGCAUCCUUCAUGGCAGUUGCUUUUAAUUCAAUGUGGAACACACCCCUCACCCUACGAGACUGUGGAACAGACUGUUCAAAGUAUUUCCCUGCUGAACUGACCACUUGAAAAAAACAUUGAGGGAGUCUUGAUCCUAACAGCUGGUCUUACAACCGUGUUCAUUUUUGUCAAUCAAGACUUAAAUGAAGGAGAGGGUCCUGUGAGAUGCAUAAAACCAUCUAAGAUAUGGUUAAUCAGACUUUGAAACCCACAUCAUUAAGAAGGAUACAGAAUGACUGAGUCUCUAACAUUGCACACUGGUAUGCCUGUGAAGAGGCAUUACCAAAGUUAAUUAUGUCUAGUGCAAAUGCUGGGAGGUCUGACUGAGCAAAGCAGCUGACCCCCCCAAAGCAAAAGGGAAGAAACCAACAGGAAAGAUGAUUGAAGAAAGGAAGAAGACAGAAUCCAAGAAAUAUCAGUGAGAGUCAGUUUCAGGCAGAAGCUCCCAAGUUGCAGAGUCAAAAUGAGAUUUCCUUUGGGGAAGGAUCUGCUUCCAGGAUUUGCUUCUCCCUUGUUCCCUGGGUAGACACUGAAUUCUUGAAACCCCCCCCAUCAGUGUUGCAGGUAGGUAGAGCCCACUUGGGGAUAGCCGCUUGUAUUGCCUUCUCAAGUGUGGAGGACUGACUUGGCUGGUCCUUUGCCCUUUCUUCUUUGUUGCCCACCUUUCUAGACUGAGACAGUAAGAGCUUCUGGCUCAACAGAUUUUUGAGAGAAAUAAGGAAGGCAUUUCUAUCUCCACCCACUUUGCUGUAGUGUGGAAAGUUUCCUCUUGAGGGGUUUGUAUGUGCACCUCACUGUCUCCAACUCCAAAUCAGUACUGCUUUGUGCUGUAGGCUCUCAUACUGCUCUUCCUCUCUCCCCUCUCUGCACAAAAGAGCUGAGAUACUAUGACUGUGGAAACCAUGUAGGCGGACCCAGACACUCUUUUCUCUCAGCCAGGGAAAUCUGAUUUACUAGUUUGCGCAUCGCUGGAUUUUGCAAUUCCCCUGAUACUUUGAUUUGCCUGUGUGAGUACAAUGAAGCAGGGUGCCAGGGCAAGAACGUUCACUGAUCAAAGGAGAUGUUGCUGACCCCUCCCUGUAGCUAUGCCAAUGGCACAGAGAAUGAUUUUAAUGUGAGGUUUUUUAGUAGGAGCUUAAUUGUAGGCUCUGCCUUCUCACUUCAUGCCACAUGCUGCAGCAGCAGCUUCUCCCUCAGACUGCCCACUGCCAGACCUCCCAUCUCCAUCUGUGUCAUAACUGAGGCAGACAGGCUGUUGUGGGUGUCCCCUGGCUGUAACCACAGAAAUCAAACCUCCAACGAGCAAUGGGAUUCUAAGAAGGCUUUUGCAGCCUCAAAGGUCCAGGCCCCUUUUCCCCAGUCCUUCUUUCAUACCAAGAAAAUUCAGCUAGAACUAUGUUGGACUCAAUACUACCCAGGUGGAGCCAGUGGCUCUUCUCUCCCUCCUCAUUCCCCCAAAAUUGCUGCAUGAACUUUCAGCCCUUACAGUGCCAUGAGCCCUCAGUGGAAGACCUUGAGGAGGGCCUUCUAAGAUUCCAGACAAUGAGACUCUAUUCUUGAAUCUUGAGCUUUCACAAGUAAGAUUCCCUGACACAAAUUGGGUUAUGGAAGAGGAGGCGUUUGUUUGGGUUUUUUUUUCUUCCAGAUCAUGCUGAAUCCUUUGAGCCAGAAUAUUAGCUGUCUUUGGGGUGGAAGCCCAGACAGAUUAUAGCUCCUUGGAAAUAAAUGGUCAUUCAGGAGACAUUCUGGUCCCCUGUAGUUCUUCAUUGAAGUGUUAUGUGGAAUGUUUAUUUGAUCUGGCCCCUCUUACCUUGCUGCCCCAAGGUUCACGUAGAUACAUCGAUAAAGCUUGCAAGUCUCCAAAUGUACUACUGUGAGCAGAUCUUCAAAUUUCAGAUUAAGUGAAGUUGGGCCGCCUCAUCCUCUGCAUAGGAGACCUCAGAGGAAUCUGUGAAACCUGCUUCUCUUGUGUUCCAAACACUGCUGCUUUUAUAUGACCAACUCCCACGCCCCCACCACAACCUGCCCUGGCACUUCUGGUUCAAUUUCUGUAACUAUAAAGUAUAUCUGUAAAGAGAAUUUAUGAAAAAUAACGGAUUUAUUUAAUCAGUUACUCCUUCUCUGGGUUUUUAGAAAAGAGUUGAGCCCAAACUGUCAAAAUGCCAAGAUAUACAGUAUUGCAUGUUUGAAAUUUCUACAGAUUGAAGCAAAUUGUUAACUUAAAUUUAAGUGUUUUGGAGGGCUCAGAGAAAGGCGGCGGGAGAUAUAUUCAGUGUAGCUUGUCACCCUUUUAAGGUUUUUUGGGGAAAGCCUGUUCUAUACAUAAUUAAAAUCAGUAUGUAGCAGCUCUUUAUAAGAGAAUUUCUAUAACCAAAUUCAAUUUAUUAUGGUGCCAGAUCAGCUGAGAAAUAAGUAAGUGUCUGGCAUUACUUGAAGCGUAUUACUGAACGUCACAGGCAAACGAUUCUGAAGAACAAGGUUUAUUUUUUGAGUUUCAGACCCCAAAACUAGUUUUGGAAAUUCCUAUAGGGGAUUAACAUUAGCCUUUACCAGUAGUGGAACAGCAUCUCCUCCGCCCCACCUCCCCAAUGAUCAUCUUCUGGCAAUUGGAAUCAACUAAUCAGAUGCUUGUGCCACCUUCCACUUAGUUUCUUAAAUCAGUUCACCAUGAAACAUUUUUAACUAAUGCCUAGAUUUUUCAUUAAAUUAACCAGCAUACCUAAAUUGCCUAACAGUCUUAACGCAGCCCCCAGGCUACAGCUUCAUGGCAGUUGUAAUUUCCUUAUUAUGUUGGAAUGCAUUUCAGUUGAAGUAUAUUGUCUAAAAAUAAUUGUUUAGAUAGUGCUGCUUAAAUACAUACUUAUGUAGUGAGACAUUCAGAGGAUUUACUUAAAUUGGGCCCUUUCAGAUUAAAAAAUCAUUCAUGUGGCUUUUCCUUUGCCAAGAAUAGCUAUCAAACUGCUUAUUGCCUACAUCUUGAUUUCUGCUGUAGUCAGUCUGUAAAAUACACAAAUUUAUAAUUUAGUGUUUUUUAGAAAAUUGAUAAAAUGUUUGUUAAAAUAUGAGACAGCAGUAACUGAUUGAAAAUAAAUUUAUUUAAACUGAUUUCUUUAAUCCACAAACGCAAUUGUGUGGUGAUGCCAUAUAAAGCUCAGUGUAGUAAAUCAAAAGUAAAGAUGUGUUUAACUUUUCAAAGUAAGACAGCUUUGUUAUGCAUAUUGAAUAGCUUAUUUACUAUAGGUACAUUUAUUUUGACAUUUUUGCAUGCAGAGAUUUAAAAUCCAAUUGUAGAAGUUACUUAAGAGCUUCAGGACUAAACAUCUUUAAAUCCAAGAAAAGGGCAACAUAUGUGAUCUUAAACACUGGUGGUGUAAGUGCUGAAUGAGGACCUAAGUAUGUGACUGUGUCUCAUUGAUCUAAAGUUAAGCACAGGCUUAAGUGCCCUUCCUGAGUAGGCAUCCUUCUCUGAAUUGAGAUAUUAAAUAAAGUUAUUUGGUGAAGGAUAAUCUAAAUUACUCUGCACAUCUACUGAGAAUUGUUUUAAUAGUAAAGUCUCUAAAGACAUGAUGUCAAGUUUUAAAAAGCUUUAAAAAAAUUACUUAGCUCUGUUACAACCCCUUGGAAACUUAAAACUAUCCAUAUUUAAAAUUUAUUUCCAUUCAUGAAAGUAAAUUUUUUUGUUAACACUUUUAAAAAUAAUAUAGUUUUUUGUUGGUAUUUUGAUACUUCUGAUGUAUGCACCAGCAUUGUGUAAUGUACUCUUUGGUACUCUGAAACCUGCAGCUUGUCUCCUGGUGUGUUUUAGA